UCUCUUUCUCUCUCCCCGCCCAGAGUUUUCUCUGUCGCGUAGGGUGUUGUGUUAAUUUUGGCGGUCUCAGAUGUCUCAGGUACCUGGGUCGGAGUCCUUUCUGUUGUUAUCUACUGGAUUCCCUUGAUUCAAGGCCUAGGGAGUUCCUGCCCUACACUGGCCCUCGCGAAAAUAUUUGUCUUUGAGGACGUCUGGGGCUGCGACCGCGGAAUAGAAAAAAAUAGUAGGUCAUCAAAAACAAGGAAAAUUGGAAAAUCUUUCAUGGCCAAGAGAAGCUUAAGGAGACAUGAUGAUUAAAUGUAUCCUGGAUGGGAUCCUGGAACACGAAAAGGACAUUAGGUAAAAACUAAGGAAAUCUGAAUAAAGUAUGGAUGUUAGUUAAUAAUAAUAUAUCAGUACUGAUUCAUUAAUUGUGACAAAUGCACCAUACUAAUGCAGGGGAAACGGUGUGGGAUAUAUGGGAACUCUACUAUUUUCACAAUUUUUCUGUAGAUCUAAAGCUGCUAAAAAAUUAUUUUGCACCUGCUGCAGAUGCUAGUGUGCCAUCACAAUAAAUCCUCCUGUGCUGACUUUCAGGCAGAAGACACAGCUGUGAGCAGAGCUGGUCAUGUGUCAUCUACUGCUUUUUAAGCAGAUCC
rnacentral:lncRNA from 10 species